CAGCAACAAGGUCUCAGAAAAGGUAAAGGUGUCAGUCUUCAAAUUAAAUUUCCGCAAUGGCACAAGAAAUGAGAUAAUUUUCCAGUUGGUGUAGGUUAUUGUUUCAUAUAAUCUUUGGGAAGUUUGGCACUGACCGGAUGGAAGCAUCUAAUAUGUUCCUUAGCAUCAAGUUAACGAAAAUUUUAAUGGAAUCUCAAUUUUUUAAUUUCUUCUAGUUCAUCAACAGGCUUUGGUAAAAGUAAGCUAACUGGUGUCGGUUUUAGGAAGUUUUUCUUGCAUGCAUCAUCUAUUUUAAUGCAAGACAAAAGGCAUGAACCUAAUUUUACAGGGUUGUCAAUUCUAUUUCAUCUUAAUUAUCUAGCUUUUGAGAACUUAUUUUGAAUUAUUAUUUUACAUUGAUUCUUAGGUUGACGUUUUUUCUUUUGGAAUUGUGCUAUGGGAGAUUCUCACUGGUGAAGAGCCAUACGCUAACAUGCACUAUGGUGCAAUCAUAGGUGCAGUUCUACUACUUUUUUUGCUUCUUCCUGUCCAUGCCUGUAUCACAAGAUAAUCCAAUGCUUGAAAAAUCAAUUAUUAAGUCAUAUAGGGUAUCAAAAUGAAUAUAAAUUAUUUUGCACAUGGGAUUGGGGUUUAGUAUUUUGAUUUACUAACUAGUUAAUCUUGAGUGGAAUUUAGUUUAACAACAAUUGGCUAAUCUUGCUUCCAUAUAUGCCCUAAUCUAUGUAAUCUGUGUCGUUCUUUUCCAGCAACAUGGAAUAUUUGCGCGCAUAGUCUAGAAUUGGUCUUUAGGUUCUAGCUGUGUAUUUGUGUGUGCAGUGUCUUUACUAAAUCUCCCAAUUUCCUUGUG
rnacentral:misc_RNA from 1 species